rnacentral:rRNA from 1 species
UAGACCUACGGGGCGCAGCAGUGAGGAAUAUUGGUCAAUGGCCGGGAGGCUGAACCAGCCAAGUCGCGUGAGGGAAGACGGCCCUACGGGUUGUAAACCUCUUUUGUCAGGGAGCAAGGUGCAGGUCGGGACCUGCUGUGAGAGUACCUGAAGAAAAAGCAUCGGCUAACUCCGUGCCAGCAGCCGCGGUAAUACGGAGGAUGCGAGCGUUAUCCAGAUUUAUUGGGUUUAAAGGGUGCGUAGGCGGGCUUUUAAGUCAGCGGUAAAAAUUCGGGGCUCAACCCCGUCCGGCCGUUGAAACUGGG